rnacentral:rRNA from 1 species
GACGUAGGGGGCCAGCGUUGCUCGGAAUUACUGGGUGUAAAGGGUUCGUAGGCGGUGCGGCAAGUCGGGCGUGAAAUCUCCAGGCUCAACCUGGAGGGGUCAUUCGAUACUGCCGUGACUAGAGUUCGGUAGAGGAGUGUGGAAUUCCUGGUGGAGCGGUGAAAUGCGCAGAGAUCAGGAGGAACACCCGUAGCGAAGGCGGCACUCUGGGCCGAUACUGACACUGAGGAGCGAAAGCGUGGGGAGCGAACAGG